AUUGAACGCUGGCGGCAGGCCUAACACAUGCAAGUCGAACGAGUGGCGGACGGGUGAGUAAUGUCUGGGAAACUGCCUGAUGGCGGGGGAUAACUACUGGAAACGGUAGCUAAUACCGCAUACCAGUAGGUGUGCCCAGAUGUGAUUAGCUUGUUGGUGGGGUAACGGCUCACCAAGGCGACGAUCCCUAGCUGGUCUGAGAGGAUGACCAGCCACACUGGGACUGAGACACGGUCCAGACUCCGACGGGAGGCAGCAGUGGGGAAUAUUGCGCAAUGGGCGCAAGCCUGAUGCAGCCAUGCCGCGUGUCUGAGGAAGGCCUUCGGGGUGUAAAGUACUUUAAGCGGGGAGGCGUUACCCGCAGAAGAAGCACCGGCUAACUCCGUGCCAGCCGCCGCGGUAAUUC
rnacentral:rRNA from 1 species